rnacentral:miRNA from 1 species
GAGAGGGUAGCGUUGUACGGUUCGACCACGGUGUCCGACACCUUCGGCGACGGCACGACCGAGUAUGUGUUCAUGAUGCGGUCCGGGUACUCCUCGCGGAUUUUCGAGAU